UAAAAAUGGACAGGAAGCGCAAAGGCGGCGCUGAAAAGGCAAGAAUAAAAAAAAAGAAAGCUUUGGAAACUGAUGCGGCCAAAUGUCCUAAGCUGAGCACAUUUUUCCUAAAAAUAACUAAUGAAGACGACGAGGCCGCUCUUCAGCAGCAGCCGCCUCAAGGCCCUGGCGCAGUAACGUUACCAAGCAGUCAUGAGCCCAACACACCAGAAUGGGCAGGUACAGGGACUGCUGAGGAGGUUACAGCCCUCAAAGUGGAUGAGGGCGAAUGAGACAGGGAAGAGGAAUUCUACCAAAACUGGA